rnacentral:rRNA from 1 species
CGGGAAUUUUGGGCAAUGGGCGAAAGCCUGACCCAGCAACGCCGCGUGAGGGAUGAAGUAUUUCGGUAUGUAAACCUCGAAAGAAUGGGAAGAAUAAAUGACGGUACCAUUUAUAAGCUCCGGCUAACUACGUGCCAGCAGCCGCGGUAAUACGUAGGGAGCAAGCGUUGUUCGGAUUUACUGGGCGUAAAGGGCGCGUAGGCGGCGCGGUAAGCCACUUGUGAAAUCUCUGAGCUUAACUCAGAACGGCCAAGUGAUACUGCUGUGCUAGAGUGCGGAAGAGGCAACCGGAAUUCUUGGUGUAGCGGUGAAAUGCGUAGAUAUCAAGAGGAACACCUGAGGCGAAGGCGGGUUGCUGGGCCGACACUGACGCUGAUGCGCGAAAGCCAGGGGAGCAAACG